rnacentral:rRNA from 1 species
UUAAGCGACUAAGCGUACACGGUGGAUGCCCUGGCAGUCAGAGGCGAUGAAGGACGUGCUAAUCUGCGAUAAGCGUCGGUAAGGUGAUAUGAACCGUUAUAACCGGCGAUUUCCGAAUGGGGAAACCCAGUGUGUUUCGACACACUAUCAUUAACUGAAUCCAUAGGUUAAUGAGGCGAACCGGGGGAACUGAAACAUCUAAGUACCCCGAGGAAAAGAAAUCAACCGAGAUUCCCCCAGUAGCGGCGAGCGAACGGGGAGCAGCCCAGAGCCUGAAUCAGUGUGUGUGUUAGUGGAAGCGUCUGGAAAGGCGCGCGAUACAGGGUGACAGCCCCGUACACAAAAAUGCACAUGCUGUGAGCUCGAUGAGUAGGGCGGGACACGUGGUAUCCUGUCUGAAUAUGGGGGGACCAUCCUCCAAGGCUAAAUACUCCUGACUGACCGAUAGUGAACCAGUACCGUGAGGGAAAGGCGAAAAGAACCCCGGCGAGGGGAGUGAAAAAGAACCUGAAACCGUGUACGUACAAGCAGUGGGAGCACGCUUAGGCGUGUGACUGCGUACCUUUUGUAUAAUGGGUCAGCGACUUAUAUUCUGUAGCAAGGUUAACCGAAUAGGGGAGCCGAAGGGAAACCGAGUCUUAACUGGGCGUUAAGUUGCAGGGUAUAGACCCGAAACCCGGUGAUCUAGCCAUGGGCAGGUUGAAGGUUGGGUAACACUAACUGGAGGACCGAACCGACUAAUGUUGAAAAAUUAGCGGAUGACUUGUGGCUGGGGGUGAAAGGCCAAUCAAACCGGGAGAUAGCUGGUUCUCCCCGAAAGCUAUUUAGGUAGCGCCUCGUGAAUUCAUCUCCGGGGGUAGAGCACUGUUUCGGCAAGGGGGUCAUCCCGACUUACCAACCCGAUGCAAACUGCGAAUACCGGAGAAUGUUAUCACGGGAGACACACGGCGGGUGCUAACGUCCGUCGUGAAGAGGGAAACAACCCAGACCGCCAGCUAAGGUCCCAAAGUCAUGGUUAAGUGGGAAACGAUGUGGGAAGGCCCAGACAGCCAGGAUGUUGGCUUAGAAGCAGCCAUCAUUUAAAGAAAGCGUAAUAGCUCACUGGUCGAGUCGGCCUGCGCGGAAGAUGUAACGGGGCUAAACCAUGCACCGAAGCUGCGGCAGCGACGCUUAUGCGUUGUUGGGUAGGGGAGCGUUCUGUAAGCCUGUGAAGGUGUGCUGUGAGGCAUGCUGGAGGUAUCAGAAGUGCGAAUGCUGACAUAAGUAACGAUAAAGCGGGUGAAAAGCCCGCUCGCCGGAAGACCAAGGGUUCCUGUCCAACGUUAAUCGGGGCAGGGUGAGUCGACCCCUAAGGCGAGGCCGAAAGGCGUAGUCGAUGGGAAACAGGUUAAUAUUCCUGUACUUGGUGUUACUGCGAAGGGGGGACGGAGAAGGCUAUGUUGGCCGGGCGACGGUUGUCCCGGUUUAAGCGUGUAGGCUGGUUUUCCAGGCAAAUCCGGAAAAUCAAGGCUGAGGCGUGAUGACGAGGCACUACGGUGCUGAAGCAACAAAUGCCCUGCUUCCAGGAAAAGCCUCUAAGCAUCAGGUAACAUCAAAUCGUACCCCAAACCGACACAGGUGGUCAGGUAGAGAAUACCAAGGCGCUUGAGAGAACUCGGGUGAAGGAACUAGGCAAAAUGGUGCCGUAACUUCGGGAGAAGGCACGCUGAUAUGUAGGUGAAGUCCCUCGCGGAUGGAGCUGAAAUCAGUCGAAGAUACCAGCUGGCUGCAACUGUUUAUUAAAAACACAGCACUGUGCAAACACGAAAGUGGACGUAUACGGUGUGACGCCUGCCCGGUGCCGGAAGGUUAAUUGAUGGGGUCAGCGCAAGCGAAGCUCUUGAUCGAAGCCCCGGUAAACGGCGGCCGUAACUAUAACGGUCCUAAGGUAGCGAAAUUCCUUGUCGGGUAAGUUCCGACCUG